rnacentral:rRNA from 1 species
ACGGAGGGUGCAAGCGUUAUUCGGAAUUACUGGGCUUAAAGCGCGCGUAGGCGGCUUUUUAAGUCAGAUGUGAAAUCCCGGGGCUCAACCCAGGAAGUGCAUUUGAAACUGGUUGGCUUGAGUAAGGUAGAGGGGGGUGGAAUUCCUGGUGUAGCGGUGAAAUGCGUAGAUAUCAGGAGGAACGCCGGUGGCGAAGGCGGCUCCCUGGACCAAUACUGACGCUGAGGCGCGAAAGCGUGGGGAGCAAACAG